rnacentral:rRNA from 1 species
UACGAAGGGUGCAAACGUUGCUCGGAAUUAUUGGGCGUAAAGAGCUCGUAGGCGGUCUGUUGCGUCGGCUGUGAAAACCCGGGGCUCAACUCCGGGCCUGCAGCCGAUACGGGCAGACUAGAGUUCGGCAGGGGAGACUGGAAUUCCUGGUGUAGCGGUGAAAUGCGCAGAUAUCAGGAGGAACACCGGUGGCGAAGGCGGGUCUCUGGGCCGAUACUGACGCUGAGGAGCGAAAGCGUGGGGAGCGAACAGG